CUUCAAGGACACAUAAGAUUAUUGCUCCAGCCAAUCUUGAACGACCAGUUCGUUAUAUUAGAAAACCUAUUGACUAUACAAUUCUAGAUGAUAUUGGACAUGGAGUAAAGGUGAGUACCCAGAACAUGAAGAUGGGUGGGCUGCCGCGUACAACACCUCCAACUCAGAAGCCCCCUAGUCCCCCUAUGUCAGGGAAAGGGACACUUGGGCGGCACUCCCCCUAUCGCACACUGGAGCCAGUGCGUCCUCCAGUGGUACCAAAUGAUUACGUACCUAGCCCAACCCGUAAUAUGGCUCCCUCGCAGCAGAGCCCUGUGAGGACAGCUUCUGUGAAUCAAAGAAAUCGAACUUACAGCAGCAGUGGGAGUAGUGGAGGGAGCCACCCAAGUAGUCGGAGCAGCAGUCGAGAGAACAGUGGAAGUGGCAGUGUGGGGGUUCCUAUUGCUGUUCCUACUCCAUCUCCUCCCAGUGUCUUUCCAGGUCAUCCUGUACAGUUCUACAGCAUGAAUAGGCCUGCCUCUCGCCAUACUCCCCCAACAAUAGGGGGCUCGUUGCCCUAUAGACGCCCUCCUUCCAUUACUUCACAAACAAGCCUUCAGAAUCAGAUGAAUGGAGGACCUUUUUAUAGCCAGAAUCCAGAGAGGGCAAGAACAAAUAUUAGACACCAUGGCUAUUGUGGACAUGUUUCAGAUACACCACCUCCACCGCCACCUGUGGAAGAACCAGUCUUUGAUGAGUCUCCCCCACCUCCUCCACCCCC
rnacentral:sRNA from 1 species